UACGGGAGGCAGCAGUGAGGAAUAUUGGUCAAUGGGCGGGAGGCUGAACCAGCCAAGUAGCGUGCAGGAUGACGGCCCUAUGGGUUGUAAACUGCUUUUAUCAGGGGAUAAAGUGAGGGACGUGUCCCUUUUUGUAGGUACGGGUGAUGAAUAAGGACCGGCUAAUUCCGUGCCAGCAGCCGCGGUAAU
rnacentral:rRNA from 1 species